rnacentral:lncRNA from 7 species
UCCUGUGGAAAUCUGUAUGCAAUGUCACAAUGGUCAUGUUACUCCAUUUUUCUAGUAUUACAGGUUGGUUACAUGAGAUGUCUGUCUCUUAUGUGGUUGCCAAAUUUAAUGACUGAAUAGUUUAACUACAUUUACUUUUGAGUUUUUCUCCUACCUAUACACAAUUUAUCAGUUUUGUAGCUGAUCGCAAAUAUUCACCACAUCUUAUUAGAUACUCUGCAAGCAAUGGAUCGACGCAGCUGGCCUUGGAAGAAGAAAUCAUCUGACAAAUCAUCAAAUGCGGAUGUGCUGCAGAAUUUUAAUCAUGCAGAACAGGUUUGCCGAGCUUGUAUAAUAUUGAGUUAGAUUGAUCUAAGUCUCCAUGUUAUAAGAUAAUAGUAUUAGCCUCCAAUGUUUUUUACUCCCUCCGUUCCAAAUUGUAAGUAGUUCUGGCUUUUCUAGAUACAUUACUUUUGUUACGUACAUAUAUAUCAUGUUUAGGUACAUAGUUAAAUUUAUGUAUCUACAAAAGCCAGAAUGACUUAUUGUUUGAAAUAGAGUACCUAAGGAUGCCAGAAGAAAGGUUUGAUAGGUGCAACUGCAUAAGGGACUGUUCUGUGUUAACUGAUGCCACUUGGUUGUUGGUCGUGCAGUCAUGUUUCUUUAGUUCAUCUUUUUCCUUCAGCGGUAGGGUACAUUGCCUUGACUUAUUGAACAUGUGCCAAGAUGUCCCUUGAUAUGAUCUGUUCACCUCUUUCUUUCUCUCCCUCUCCAUUUUAUUUCAUUGACCUUGGUGGUGUGGCAAAAGGUCGCAUAACAUUUGGCAUAGCAAUGGCUAGAAUCAGCUGGCCAUUUUUUCACCUUUAUACAUCAAGGCUGAUUUAUAAGUUUUGACACAUCUUUUAAGUAUACUUAUGCUAAAACAAGUUUUAUUCUCUGCAGGAAGAUAAAGCUCCAAAAUUUGUGCAAAUUUCACCUGAAACAUAUGCACAUCUUACCGAGUCAG